rnacentral:tRNA from 1 species
ACCUGGCUGGCUCAGCUGGAAGAGCUUAUGGCUCUUGAUCUUGGGGUUGUGAGUUCGAACCUCAUGCUGGGUG